rnacentral:rRNA from 1 species
CAGGCUUAACACAUGCAAGUCGAGGGGCAGCAUGGUCUUAGCUUGCUAAGGCCGAUGGCGACCGGCGCACGGGUGAGUAACACGUAUCCAACCUGCCGUCUACUCUUGGACAGCCUUCUGAAAGGAAGAUUAAUACAAGAUGGCAUCAUGAGUCCGCAUGUUCACAUGAUUAAAGGUAUUCCGGUAGACGAUGGGGAUGCGUUCCAUUAGAUAGUAGGCGGGGUAACGGCCCACCUAGUCUUCGAUGGAUAGGGGUUCUGAGAGGAAGGUCCCCCACAUUGGAACUGAGACACGGUCCAAACUCCUACGGGAGGCAGCAGUGAGGAAUAUUGGUCAAUGGGCGAGAGCCUGAACCAGCCAAGUAGCGUGAAGGAUGACUGCCCUAUGGGUUGUAAACUUCUUUUAUAAAGGAAUAAAGUCGGGUAUGGAUACCCGUUUGCAUGUACUUUAUGAAUAAGGAUCGGCUAACUCCGUGCCAGCAGCCGCGGUAAUACGGAGGAUCCGAGCGUUAUCCGGAUUUAUUGGGUUUAAAGGGAGCGUAGAUGGAUGUUUAAGUCAGUUGUGAAAGUUUGCGGCUCAACCGUAAAAUUGCAGUUGAUACUGGAUAUCUUGAGUGCAGUUGAGGCAGGCGGAAUUCGUGGUGUAGCGGUGAAAUGCUUAGAUAUCACGAAGAACUCCGAUUGCGAAGGCAGCCUGCUAAGCUGCAACUGACAUUGAGGCUCGAAAGUGUGGGUAUCAAACAGGAUUAGAUACCCUGGUAGUCCACACGGUAAACGAUGAAUACUCGCUGUUUGCGAUAUACAGCAAGCGGCCAAGCGAAAGCGUUAAGUAUUCCACCUGGGGAGUACGCCGGCAACGGUGAAACUCAAAGGAAUUGACGGGGGCCCGCACAAGCGGAGGAACAUGUGGUUUAAUUCGAUGAUACGCGAGGAACCUUACCCGGGCUUAAAUUGCAGAUGAAUUACGGUGAAAGCCGUAAGCCGCAAGGCAUCUGUGAAGGUGCUGCAUGGUUGUCGUCAGCUCGUGCCGUGAGGUGUCGGCUUAAGUGCCAUAACGAGCGCAACCCUUGUUGUCAGUUACUAACAGGUUCCGCUGAGGACUCUGACAAGACUGCCAUCGUAAGAUGUGAGGAAGGUGGGGAUGACGUCAAAUCAGCACGGCCCUUACGUCCGGGGCUACACACGUGUUACAAUGGGGGGCACAGAGGGCCGCUACCACGCGAGUGGAUGCCAAUCCCCAAAACCUCUCUCAGUUCGGACUGGAGUCUGCAACCCGACUCCACGAAGCUGGAUUCGCUAGUAAUCGCGCAUCAGCCACGGCGCGGUGAAUACGUUCCCGGGCCUUGUACACACCGCCCGUCAAGCCAUGGGAGCCGGGGGUACCUGAAGUGCGUAACCGCGAGGAGCGCCCUAGGGUAAAACUGGUGACUGGGGCUAAGUCGUA